ACUGGAGUCUGCAACCCGACUCCACGAAGCUGGAUUCGCUAGUAAUCGCGCAUCAGCCACGGCGCGGUGAAUACGUUCCCGGGCCUUGUACACACCGCCCGUCACACCAUGGGAGCCGGUAAUACCCGAAGUCAGUAGUCCAACCUCGUGAGGACGCUGCCGAAGGUAGGAUUGGCGACUGGGGUGAAGUCGUAACAAGGUACC
rnacentral:rRNA from 1 species